UACGUAUGGUGCAAGCGUUAUCCGGAUUUACUGGGUGUAUAGGGAGCGCAGGCGGCACGGCAAGCCUGAUGUGAAAGCCCGCGGCCCAACCGCGGGACUGCAUUGGGAACUACCGGGCUGGAGUGCCGGAGAGGUAGGCGGAAUUCCUAGUGUAGCGGUGAGAUGCGUAGAUAUUAGGAGGAACACCAGUGGCGAAGGCGGCCUACUGGACGGUGACUGACGCUGAGGCUCGAAAGCGUGGGGAGCAAACAGG
rnacentral:rRNA from 1 species